CUGGAUUUCUUUGCACUUUAUUAUUUUUUUUUUUUAACUGAAAGCAGGGGUUGGCAGGCCCAAAAGCAAGUUGCAGGCGAAAUAAAGCAGCAUAGUGGUUAAGAAUAUGACCUCUGGGGCCAGAACGCCUGGAUUUGAACCUGACUCUGCCACUUGUUGCCUAUGUGACCCUCAUAAGCCUUGUACCCUCUGUGCCCCCGAUUCCUUAUCUGUAAAAUGAGGGAAGACAAUAGUACCUGCCUCACAGGACUGUUGGGA
rnacentral:lncRNA from 1 species